GGCGCGGUCUCUGGUUGGUUAGCGACGCCGUCGAUCCGCACCCAGCCACUGAAGGAGGUGUUGGGGGCCGGCCCGACCGGUAACGCCCGGUUACGCCCGCUGGUGUGCGGCGGGCUGAGAGAAGCACGGCUCCGCCCGCCUGCAGCCGGGGCUGCCCUGGGGCUGUGUCUGUGGCCUUUGGUCGUCCCGGGCUGUCCGGUGGUUGCCGGGGGGCGUUUUGUUUGCGCGCGGCCGUGGUUUUAUCCUCGAGUGUUUUGGCGGUGCAGUCAGCGGGCGUUACCGGCUGUAAUAGAGCACGUGGAGAUGGGAUUUGAAGGGAGAGUGAUCCCAGCAGGACAUGAGAAGCAGAUGCGGGCCGCUCUCCCAUGGCCAGGGCAGCAGUGCGGUGCUGGCUACGGGGUUAAAAUAAAAUGUUUUUUAAAAUGCAGUGGAAAAGUCAGUGUCAGAUCUGGAAAUGCUUCACGUUGUGCACAGCCCCUGCACCUGACACAACAUACUUAGGAGGAAGGUGCUCUGCUGCGUUCAUGCUAAAAACCCAUCCUUCUUGUGUGUUUGCUUUUUAACGCAGUACAUUUCUGAAAGAAGGCCAGCGUCAUCUCCGGUUCUUUCAUAUUGAUUCGCACAGCUGUCCUUCCAGCUGUCCUUCCCUGCUGCCCAUAGAAAGAUGCCUGGCUGUCCUUUCCUUUUACUCCUUCCCGUCUUCAGUCCUCUGUCCCCCUUGCUCAUGGCUGCAGCAUAGCUCUGAAGCAUUUUAGAGUACUAAGCUGAUGCAGCUCACCCAAAGGACAGUAAGCUCAAGCUUUUUUUGCUGGAAGAGCAGUCUGUUUUGUUGCUGAUUGGAUGGUCUCACGGAGCGGUCCAGUGUUGGAGUCAGCAUCUUGUAAUACCAUCACCUAGGUCUCCUCCCUUCUUUCCAGCAUGGACAGAGAAUCCGGUGCCUGCAUUUAAACUCUGUUGUUAAACUUGUUCUUACUUAACUUGCCAAAUACCAUACAUGCAGGCCGCAGCAAAGCUAGCAAGGCGCUCACAGUAGGGCUUUCUGUCAUGCCCUGACAGCUAGCAUAGAACUGGAAAUGGCAGUAAACAGCUCUGAGCAGUUGUUGCAUGCUUCUGGGUUUUGAUCAGUUGAAAAAGAAAACAUUGCACUAGCUUACAAAAUCAUAGCAUGGCUUUCUGUGACAGGAUCCUUCAGCUAUGGCAUGAGCAAAGAGCUGUGUGGGCUGUUGAGGCAGUCCUUUAUGUCACAGCACAUCACCUGUGUCCUCCUUGUUCCCAUCAGCGACCUUAACGUUCUCACAUCUGAGUUUCGUUCCUGUGCAAUCUGAGUGGAACAGCUUGCAGUGUGGGUCAACUGCGGCUCCUAGGCUAGCUAUGGUCAUAAUGGAAGAUAGCACAGUAUGUCAGGUAUGGUACUGGAAUUACAAAUCUAGUAAUUAUCCCACAUAGCUGGUCUCCUACGAUUGGCAGCCCACAUUUGUCACCCUGGAGAAAACAAACUGCAUUUUGAGAAACAGCAGAACUGCAGGAAAAUGCAGAUAGCCUUAGAUUGUUUGUUUUUGAAGGGGACAUCAAAGCAUUGGAAUCUGAAGAUAUCUGUGGUCCAAGGGAACACUGCUUUGCCUUUUGAACAUGUCAACUCCAGCUCUCCUACCUGCGGUGCAGAUAAGCAAGUUUGUCCAGCUUUCUCUGUAAAGGAGAAGCUGAGGGGGGGCAGGAUUUCUGGAAGAGUUCUUAUAAAGCAGUGUCUUGAUUGAGAAAAUAGAGCUCUUUUUGUAAGCAUGUGUCUCAUGCAGAGUCUUGCUGAAGUCAGAUGGACUUCAAGCAAAAGUUUGCAUAAACAGAUGUCUUUGCUCAUGGUCUUGUCUGCACUGCAUGUAGAUGAAAGGAUUUCACAGUGUGAAAAGGAAAGCUGGGGUUUGCCUUCACGAUCAUGGAAAAGAAUCCGUUUCCUUUUCUUAUGAUAAUCUAAAAAAUGCAUGUAGGAAAUAGUUUUAUAGUACGACUUAUUUUCUAGUUCACGAGCAGCACUGAAGCUCAGGGAGAAGCAUGUUUGUAGUGUCUAGAAACAAAAGGAGUUUUCACUAAUGAUCUCGGGGAUCUGAAGCUGGCUUCAAGCUGUUCAAGUCAUGAGAGAAUGACUCAGAAGUCAGAAAUUUGAGGCAUUCUUAUGUCUAGCAUUUAAUCAACAGGCAAAGCAUUGGCAAGUAAGGAGAAGAAAUCAAUGGCAAAUCAGAGAAUAAUAGGUCAGCUAUUCAUUAGAGAAAGGGUUGAUUACCAGGAUAUUAACAGAAAAGAGGGCAUGAAAUUAAUCUUAAAAUUUGAGCUAGCAGUGGCUGCAAUGAGCUGAUGGUCAGAGAGCUUUUAAAAAAUUACAUGACUUUCUUGUGUGAAAGGCUAUUCUCAGUACUCUGCAUUCCCCAUUUACAUCAGUCAGAUCCCUGCUGUACAUAUUAUUCAGACUUUCCAAACACAAUGCAACUCUUGCGGGGUAAUAAUUGUUUGUUUGUAAUAUUUGUCAUUGUAUAUACAGCCAUCUUGGGUAUUACACACGAGGUGAUAAUAAUCUGCUCUCUGUUAGCAUUCACUCUGAAGCAAAAUCUUAUUUUGUUGUGUUUUCAGUGCAUGUUGGAGCUUGAUUUUGCUGGCGUUCCCUAUUCCUAGAAAAUUAUCAAUGGCUUCAUUGUGACUAUUCAUCAUACCAGGGCUUUCAUGAUUAACGUUGCAAAAUCAGGAUUAAUUUUGAGCUCUGGGACAGAGAAUGUGCUUUUCCAACUUUAAAAUCUCUCAUUUAUCUAUAAUAGCAGCAAACAAUAAACAACACCAAUAAAAUUGUAUGCAGGGUAGCUUGUACGCUAAUAACAGUAUUUGUUAUAUUAUUAAUUGUAAUCCGUUGUUAUUAUACCAAAAGUUGUGUAUAAUCUGUAGUUAUAAUUGGUGAGUUUUGAGACAUCAGUUUACAUUAAAUAAAAAAUAAUGCUCUGCGCAGUGAGCACCAACCACAUGAUGCUGCAGGCAAGGCCAAGGGACAGCACUGGAGCAAAAAACUGGUUGCAGGCAGUUCAGAUAUGGCUCCUGUGCCAAGGAUAUGCUGUGUGAUUGCAAGGAAAUACGAAACAUUGAGUUAUACCCUAUUCUGUCUGGUGUCUUACAAGCAAUGUGCGCCAUAUCUUUAAUCCCAAGGGGUCUUGGUGUCCUUCCUCAUAGAGCAUUUCUUUUGUUUGCCGUUGAAACAGAGACACUUUCAUGUCUUUGAGAACAGCUGCUUAAUGGUGCUCCACAGUGCUGCAAAGCUUUGGAAACCAUAUAAGCAAUCUGGGUAGGAGGAUGGGCUCAUAAGUCAAAUUUGGCCUAGCUUGUAGCCUUGACAGAGUCUCUGUGGGACUGCAUUUACUAAAAUAAUCAUAAGCUUCAUAUUAGUUCUAAAACAGAAUGGAGAAGUUGAGUCUUUCAGUACCCCUAAGUCAUUAAUAUCAUCGUAGGCUCAUGAUUUUAUGUGAACUUUGACCACGUUCCCAGAGCCCUUUCUCACUGCGUUUUGUGCUUCAAGAUUUCCUAACCCCAGCUCUGUGCACGCCCAAACCUGUAUUCAUUAUGCAGUCUUCUGAGAUCACAGCUGGUGGUGACAUGGCUGCUGGCCACGGAGAGUUUAAAUCGCCUACUCUCUGAUGGGACCCGUUCAAUAGAUAUUUGUCUGUACAGGUGCUCUGGCAAGAUGUUAUCUGUAGUUAAAUACAUACAAAGUGCAUAAGCUGUUGAUAUGAGUUCGCUUGAGGGGUCACAGUAGUGCCACUUCAAUGACUAUUACAUAAAAUGUAAUAGUCUCUAACAGUUCUUCCCCAGUGGUGGUAGUUAAUUUUUGCUACAGUAAUGACAGAGAAAGAGUUGACUUAUCUAACCAUGCACUACGGUUUGAACUUUGAAGUUUUGGUUAUGUUAACUCUGAAACCCUGUCAGUGCUGUUAAUUCUCUGCCUGGGGUUUCUUAGUGCACACUGUGUUUGUGCGACAGUCACAGCAUGAGUAACCUGCAUGGCAAACAUAUACUUCACAUUGUCCAUUCACUGCUUAAGGAAAAAAUCUUUCCUGCUGUCUGUUCCAUGCAAGUUUCCUCUCUUGCUCCCUAGGGGCAACAAUCCUGCCGAAGCACUACUUCCCAAUGGAGUCAUGGCCUUUGCUGUAUCUGAUGAUGAGCUUUCACACAGAUGGUGCAUUUACACAGGCUUUGCUCUUCAUUCUGUAUUCUUCUAUCUGCAUACUUAUUUUUGCUGGUUUUGGAAUUACUUUCUCUAGUAUUCUUUUCCUAUUUUUUUUCCUCUUUUUUCUCUUUAGCUUAAGUAUUUCUAAUGGAAAGGUAAAAAGUAACACCACUGUCUAAUAGGAACAACUAGGUUUGGGUUACAAAAACUAAAUGAUUUUUGAAAUACUUUGGAAAUAUAUUCCCUAGUUACGCUUUUUUUAAAAAAAUACUAAUUACAGGUUUUAUUUUUCAUCUGAGUUGCUUUUUUACGUUUUUGUAUUUUUCAUUUGCAUUUCUGUGUUCUUUCCUACAUCAAAUGAUAGAGCUGCCUGAAGUUACAGAGUGUUAGAGUAAUGUUAAAGAGGCAGCAGAACCAGGAGAUUCUUCUACAAAAUCACCGGGGCUUUUCAUGCCAAAUGCAUUGUCCUUUCCUGGUCUUUUUUUUUUUUUGAAAAUGUGUUUACGUGUUCCCUUGGAUUCACCCCUCAGCAAACUGGGAUGUGAAAGAAGUGCAGUCUUGGCUGAUGCAAUCUUGCCUGCGGAGUGCCUUGUGCCUUCAUGCAAAGGAGAGUUGGUGUUUCUGGUGGGGGAAUGAGGGGGGAGCCCGCAGUACAUCAGGAGGUAAACGUGCCUGGGAGCAGCUCCACAAGCUCCAAAAUCCUACGUGCAGGAAACAAUUGUCUGAACAGAGGCCACCACUUGCAAAUGCCCUGGCCUUUCUCUACCUCAUGCCACCAGGCAGCAUUUCAGAUUCCCCCAGCUUGGGAAAUCUUGAGCCUGGGUGAGAAAACUCUGGGAAAAGCACAGAGAAAGCCAAAAAUUAGAAUACACUGCUGUAAGCUUAAGGGAAGAGAAUAAAUAGCCUUACAUGCUGUGUCAUCCUGCUUCUUACAUAAAAAAUCAUCUAUGAAAGGGGAAAAAAAAUGCUACAUUUAGGUUGAAUAUUUCCAUGAAGUAGUGGCGCAAAGAUAAUUUGAAUUGCCCACAGGAUGAAUUUAGCCUGACGUGUAAAAUCUAUUUCUGCCAUUACCGCUGCUAACCUAAGCCUAUUCAGAGAUAAUUAUAGUCAAGUGCUUACCCUGUUCUUGCUCAUCUGUUUUUCCCUCCUGCCCAUUUAGUAAAUGCAUGAGUUAUGCAUUAGCACUGGUAUGCUGUGUCAAAGCAGUAAGAGCUUUGAAAUUAGACAGCAAGAGUGGAAUAUAAUAAGGCAGGAAAUAACCAGUGAAAUUUGUAAACAAAGGGUUGUAAAAAUAACAAUUAGGAGUCAGCUAUGUUCUAGAAAAUGAAGAUUUUGGAGUGUAAUAAUUUGAAUUUACAACAGUGUCAGUGCAAAUGUAGGUCAAAUUUCGUAACUUUGACUAAAACAUGUUUCUAAUUUUUUCAUUACUCGAGGCAAAACAGUUCCAAACAUGAAGAAAAGGCAUUGCUUCUACCUGACUUAAAACCCUAUUGGAUUUCACAAGAAACUGUCUUCUGCUGUACAGAUACAUUCCUUAAAUAUUCUUGUUCUCUCCAGCAUGCUCAGGAUAAAAUUACCAAGGUGUAUGUGUCCCACUGCCUUCCUCAUCACAUUACCUAUGCGGUGAACGAGGGAUUCGGGUGAAAUCCCAGCUCCUGUGCAAAGCCAGGAAGGACCACAGGGAAGAUUGGUGACAGAGGAGGUGACAUUAGGAAAAAAUACCCUAGGUUUGGGGCUUAUUCCACCCAGAGAUCAUAUUUUGAAGUAAAUGAACGAAAGAGGCAGCUAUCCGUCCCCUCAUCACAUUUCAUCAUGUUAUAAAAACAACUGAGGUAUCUUAUGAAAGGUCUUGAGCACUGAAAACUCCUUGUAAAUAAAGAAUGUGGCUGUGAAACACAAUCCUUGGUGGGGUUCAUUUCUGUCCUUUAGAAAAGACAGCACUUCAAGACAAGGUAGAAGCUGGAGAUGAAGGGAGGGGAGUGAAGAAAAGCCCAAGGUAAUAAAAAAUAUGCACAUAGGAGUUCCUAAUCUGCAAUGAUUGCAAACAUGCCUCGCUCUCUUCAGCUUUGAAUAAAUCAUACUAUCUAUACCGAGGUUAUCUCCUUUUGUCAUCAUACAUCAAGUAAAGAUGAGAAACAGAAGUCAGCCUGGUUCACUUAUAGUUGAUUCCAAAAUGUAUUUAGAAACUUGAAAAGGCGUUGUCUAAUUCUAUGUGUGUAUCGGUUACGUCUCAUAAAAACUGUUACUAGUAUUUAUUAAUUUCAAUCUUGUGGUUCAAAGUUGAGGGUUGAGUUUUUAGGGUUUUUUGUUUGUUUUUCUCCACAAAAAAUACAUCCACAGCCACUUGGAAAUGACCCCAUAAAGAACGGAGUCCUACUUUUUAAAAUUGUUAUUUCUGUUCCUUCCAGUGAAAUGGCAAAAGAAAAUGCUCAUCACAUAGCAAUGAAAGCAGUUUUUUUUAGUUAUCCCUUGCCAUCUCCAGGGAUAAAGCUGGGCUCUAGUGGGGGUAGAUUGCUCCUAGGGGUGUCAUUCUCAGGUAAUGCAUCGGUCUCCGGACGGUGUCUCGGACACAGCGCUGGGUCAAAGCAGACAUGAGCAGGUAAGCAAACUGCUGGAAGAAGUUGGUUGAGCAAUUACCAAAGCAUGUUCAGACAGGUGUCUUAGUCUGUGGGCUCCCCUUUUUCAAGACAUUGAGAAAUGCCAUUGUAAGGUACUUCCCAUAUUAUAAUGCCCGCCCCAUGGUUUGUUGUUGAUGUUGUAGAGAAUUACAAGAAAAGUAGAAAUAUGCGAGAGGACUAAUCUUGUAGGAAAAUUAUCCAGUUUUCUUACUAUGAGCCAGCUGAAUUCAAGCGCCUUGCUUGAAGGUGACCUACCCAGCAGGAUACAGGAAGCAGUGCCAGGGACUCUAGAGAUGGAGAUAUUGGUGGAGGCAGGCAACCUUUCAGCAGAAACCACUGUUAAUUAGGUUUAGUAACAUAUCAAGUGAUGCCUAACCCACAGAAAUAAAAGGCUGAAAUCUCUGGGUGAUGGCAUGUUUACUAGAUCUGGUGUGAAGCAGGAGACAGGAGUAGAUAACCAGGGUAACUGCAAAUAGAGAUCUUUCUGUCCAAGCUCCUAAUACAGCCAACAGAUGCUGCUUAGGAGGGAAAAUACCAAACCUUAUGUGCCACAUCUUUUCUCUUCUAGAACGGUUUUGGGGCUCCAUCUCCACCUUUCUUUCUCCAGCUUGCAUUCUCUUUCCCUUCCCCUGGAUGGGACACAGCAGCCAGUUUUACUAGGAAACUGAAAAUACCACCUCUAACUGGCCUUUCUCCCUUCUGUGACCUUUCAGGUUGCCUCACCUAAAAUUAGGCAUCAUAAAUAGUUCUCAAUAACCCAGGUAUGCAUUACUGUGUAGGCACCUGACCUCAAUGAUUUAAAAUAAUUUAGACAUGUAAAUAAGACUUCACUGUCUGUGGAUCUGGACCUUAGCUAUUUGAUCUGCAUUACUAGCAAUGAAACUUUGGGGUUACUUGGCUAAUUGUAGGUCAGAUGAGAGAGAAGCUUGGAUUUGAAACCCUGGACAUGAUGCCUUCAAGUUCCUAACUGGAAUCUAGGGGCCAGGAAGAAGCUUGCCCAAAUGCAAGAAGAUAUGGUAAGACUCGAGUACAUUUGGCUAAGACUUGGGGCUGAAGAUAACACUUGUCAUCUGAAUACGUUUGGUUUACGGAGUUCCCUCAGCACAGGACACAAGUCUUCAUGAGGACAGGCAAAUCCCUUAGUAAAAUUGUCAGUAUCUGUGUGUUGAUGCUAAUUUACCAAAGGUAAAUAUUGCACAGUCACUGUAGGUGCUCAAGCAAAUUGUAAUCCUUUCUUUGUUGGGACAUAAGCUAAAUGACGUCAUCCAUCCUGUAUUAACUUACCCUCAGUUUACGUGAGGAUAAACUGAUGAAUGAAGUCAAAUGCGGUGAGAUACUGAACAAAAACACGAUGUCAAGAUUUAUUUGCAUUUACUCUGUAGCCCAGGAACAAGAGCUGUGAUGGCUGCAGUGAUGAGCCUGAGGAAUGCUGCUGGCAUUGAGAGCUCUCCGCUGUGUCACACAUUCCUGUGUUUUGCAGUCACAUUAGGAUCUGAAGGAAUUAGCCCCAGGAAAGCUCGGAGUUUAUUUCAGAUGAGGGAUGACAUUUCUACUUCUCAGGAGCUCUGUGGCUGUCCAUAAUAGUAAAGCGAUCUGGAAAGAGUUUGCUGACUACUUACAACUUAGGAGAAGCUAAGCCAGAGAACAGAAAGUAGGCUUGCAGACCAGGCACAUCUCCAUUGUUUCUCGAUCAAUCUGGAAUGUUGUUGUGAGCUGUCUCGUGCUGAGAUCUUCAAUAAACCCAAGGUGUUGGAGCUCUGAAGCUGGAUUUUCAACAUCACCAAACUACGGCCUGGAUUCUUCCUGGGUCCCUGGAUAACCUGAGACACAGCUCUAUUGCUCCUCGGUUCAGUGGUUGCACAUCUUUGAAAGGCUGCCUUCCCCAGGAAGGAAGCAUUCCUGAGCUGCAAGAGACCAAGCCUGGCCAUGUGCAGCAGUACACAGAUGUUCUACAUGUCUGGAAGCAGUUCAGCAAUGUUUGCACUGCACUAGAUUUAACAGUUUCAGAUGUCUCCGCAUCAUGUUUGAAUUUGUUCCCAUGGGAAGGCAGACAACCCUGAGGAAAAGGCCAGGCAGGAUGGAAGGAGAGCCUGUCCCCCAGGACCUUCCUCCCCCAAGCACCUGCAGUUCCCAAGAAAACAGCCUGAAGGACUAAUCCUGUUCAAGCACAGGCAGAGAGCUGUCUUCAGUUGCCAGUCCUGCUCUCCAUCUCCUUCUGAUGUCUCUAUACCACCAGCUAAGCCACAAUCAGCAAAAGCAUGGUGUCUGUCAAAUAAUCAACAUACGUUUGCAUGAAGUAAAUGGAUUGUCUGAGGAUAUCUGUGUGAAUGUUACUAAAUCUGCUCCAAAACUGAAAAAGAGGGAAACAUAGUGAAGAACAUGUUUUCUCCAUAAAACAGCUUUCUGAUGAGCACUGUUCCCCAGUGACUGUGAUAGCACACAAGAACUUUCAGCUGGAGAUCCUUCAGGUCACCAUGGGCUUUUUUUCUGUUGAUGGCUGCAAGAACAGUUCCUACUAUUUGGAACUGACCAACUUGUGCAUCCCACCUCAGGGCUGAGCUGCUGGCUGCAGCAGAGGAUGGGUUUGUGCUGCAGGGAGCAGUGCUCAGAGGAAGCCCACUUGCUGCAAGGUUUCCAAGUUGCUCAGCCACUUGAGCGUGCUGCUUCAUUCCCAACACUUCUCUGUAUGGAGAGACUGGGCUGGGCAUUGCAGAGAUGUUCUCUUCAUGAGAAGGACUCUGCUGAGAAACUCUGCAGCUGGUGGAGGGGCUGAGUAAAGAUGGCAAUGCUGCUAGUUCUGGGAGACGUAUUCCUUCACUCUGUCAGUGAGCCUAAAUCCACCAUUGCUAUGAACAUUGCACAAGCACAUCCCUUCUCAGAAAAUAAAACUCUG